rnacentral:rRNA from 1 species
GACGAACGCUGGCGGCGUGCUUAACACAUGCAAGUCGAACGGAAAGGCCCUGCUUUUGUGGGGUGCUCGAGUGGCGAACGUGUGAGUAACACGUGAGUAACCUGCCCUUGACUUUGGGAUAACUUCAGGAAACUGUGGCUAAUACCUGAUAGGAUCUCCUGCUGCAUGGUGGGGGUUGGAAAGUUUCGGCGGUUGGGGAUGGACUCGCGGCUUAUCAGCUUGUUGGUGGGGUAGUGGCUUACCAAGGCUUUGACGGGUAGCCGGCCUGAGAGGGUGACCGGGGACAUGGGGACGGAGAUACGGACCAGAGUCGUACGGGAGGCAGCAGUGGGGAAUAUUGCAAAAUGGGAGGAAGCCUGAUGCAGAAACGCCGCGUGAGGGAUGACGGCAUUCGGGUUGUAAAAAGAUUUAGCAUGUGACGAAGAGUGAGUGACGGUAAUGGGUAAAGAAGCACCGGCUAACUACGUG